AACGAACGCUGGCGGCAUGCCUAACACAUGCAAGUCGAACGAGACCUUCGGGUCUAGUGGCGCACGGGUGCGUAACGCGUGGGAACCUGCCCUUAGGUUCGGAAUAACUCAGAGAAAUUUGAGCUAAUACCGGAUAAUGUCUUCGGACCAAAGAUUUAUCGCCUUUGGAUGGGCCCGCGUAGGUUUAGCUUGUUGGUGGGGUAAUGGCCUACCAAGGCGACGAUCCUUAGCUGGUCUGAGAGGAUGAUCAGCCACACUGGGACUGAGACACGGCCCAGACUCCUACGGGAGGCAGCAGUGGGGAAUAUUGGACAAUGGGCGAAAGCCUGAUCCAGCAAUGCCGCGUGAGUGAUGAAGGCCUUAGGGUUGUAAAGCUCUUUUACCAGGGAUGAUAAUGACAGUACCUGGAGAAUAAGCUCCGGCUAACUCCGUG
rnacentral:rRNA from 1 species